GGGUCUGCAGUUCUCGACCAAGGGGCAGCAAUAUGUUCUCUAGGGCUCAGCUUCUCUGCCUCUUGCUGCUCUGGGCCCAAGAAUCCGCGGGGGACAUUGUGAUGACACAGACUCCGGAUUCUCUGACAGCGUCUCCCGGAGACACUGUCACCAUCCGCUGCAAAGCCAGUUCCAGUGCCAGCAGCUGGAUGGCUUGGUAUCAACAGAAAUCUGGACAAGCUCUAAAGCUCCUCAUCUACAAGGCUUCCAGCCGCCCCUCUGGGGUCUCAGACCGGUUCAGCGGCAGUGGUUCGGGGACUGACUUCACUUUCACCAUCAGCAGGGUGGAAGCUGACGAUGCUGCCACACUCUGGGCUCUGAGCUCUGGAUCUGCAGCUCUCUACCGACUGGUGGCAACAUGGUCUCCGAAGUUCAGCUCCUCUGCCUCCUGCUACUCUGGUCCCAAGAAUCCACAGGGGACAUCGUGCUCACUCAAACUCCAGACUUCCUGACAGCCACUCCAGGAGAUCAAGUCAAAAUCAACUGCAAAGCCAGUUCUAGUAUCAGCAGUGAGAUGGCCUGGUACCAGCAGAAACCCGGACA